GACGAACGCUGGCGGCGUGCUUAACACAUGCAAGUCGAACGGAAAGGCCCUGCUUGCAGGGUACUCGAGUGGCGAACGGGUGAGUAACACGUGGGUGGUCUGCCCUGCACUUCGGGAUAAGCUUGGGAAGCGGGGUCUAAUACCGGAUAGGAGCCAUCUUUAGUGUGGUGGUUGGAAAGUUUUUUCGGUGUAGGAUGAGCUCGCGGCCUAUCAGCUUGUUGGUGGGGUAAUGGCCUACCAAGGCGGCGACGGGUAGCCGGCCUGAGAGGGUGUACGGCCACAUUGGGACUGAGAUACGGCCCAGACUCCUACGGGAGGCAGCAGUGGGGAAUAUUGCACAAUGGGCGCAAGCCUGAUGCAGCGACGCCGCGUGGGGGAUGAAGGCCUUCGGGUUGUAAACUCCUUUCGCUAGGGACGAAGCUCUGUUGUGACGGUACCUAGAUAAGAAGCACCGGCUAACUACGUG
rnacentral:rRNA from 1 species